UCUCUCUCUCUCUCUCUCCUAUGGCUCAACUUCUGUAUUGGGGUAAGAUUUUGAGGACUGGGGGGUCUCUCUCUCUCUCUUGAUCGAUGUUAUACAUAUACAUAUACAUAUUCAUAUUCAUAUGCCAUUCACCAAGCUCCUGGCAGCAAAUGGGGGAGGGUCAAGUGUUACUGCAUUCCUCUUGUUUCAUAUUCCGCUUGUUUCAAGGUUGGAUCACCUGGAUUCUGUGGUGACCUUCUUGUCCAAGUCCUUAUUUCUUCUUGAAAGUUUCUUAAAAUAUACUAAUUUCUAGUCUCUUCUUAUCUCUUGUCGUGUACUGUCAUAGUUUAUUUCACCUAAUAUUGUUCUUUUAUGGGUGUAACAGCCUAUGAAAUUUACUGAAGGAAAACAGGAAUUGUCAAGGUGGAGCAGCAGCUAUAGUAUUGCAGGGAGAGUCGAGACACAAUGCAAGCUGCCGGAAAUGGCAGCAAGAGAGGCCUACUCCGAAGGCUAAAUGCUGGACCAAGUGGUGUCUCUUAAAGAUAGACUUAUUCAGGCAAGGAUGAAAACACAAUUUCCCAUGUUUCCGCAUUAGGAAAACAAGAACAGUAAAUGAAAUGGUACGUCAGUACCUACUUUUCAAAUGGAUGGUUUCAUACAUUUUUGUUGAUUAUGUAUUCUUACAGUUGUGCUUGGAGAUUGAAUGUAGCAAUAUUUAGAUUCAAAAGGAAGGAAAUCUUGGGGGUUAGCUGUUGGCCAUGGAUUCAAAGCGGGAUUAUCUUUUUCUUGAUUUGAUCUUGUACAGUACAGUUUCUUUUAAAACCUUCCAUCUUU